AAAAAUUUUUUUGACAUUUUUUGGGCAAUGUGGAAUUUUUUGGGCAAAAAAGCUACCGCCCCCCCCAGAAUUUAGCGGCCCCGUACGCCUAUGAUUGUGGGCAGCGGGAUUGGGAGGGAACGGAAGUUGUAUCCUUAGGAGUAGAAUCGUUAUUGCCUAUUGGGGUGCUUAAGCCUGCCGCACACGAGAGCUAUCUGCUGAGCCAAAAGUUACUCGUGCCUGUUAGCUCAGCUGAUAGCUCAGCGAUCAAACAUGUUUGAUACGUGAGAAAAGGUUGCAUGAGGCAAAAAACUCAGUAAAAUGUACCCGCACACGGUGAGCUAUCGGCUGAGCUAACAGGCACGAGUAACUUUUUGCUCAGCAGAUAGCUCUCGUGUGCGGCAGGCUUAAGCUGAACGCAAACAUGCGUAAAAUAUUGACAAGGGUGCAUAUAUUAAAUAUUGACUUAUUAAGAAAUUAAAAUAUCUUUGUAAAGCGCACGAUUUUCUGCUCUUGGGAAUUUAAAACAGUUUCUUAAACGGUUUCUUUAUGCAUAAAAUUUACUUAUGUCAUGCUUUUAUGCACUUGUGAGUUCAGCAUACAGGGUGAGUAAAAAAAAAAACUGAC